CACUUUUAAAGGACCGCAGUCUUAGCCCACCAAUCUUAGGCGUUGGAAACCCU
rnacentral:tRNA from 1 species